AUCUUUGCGCAGUGGCAGUAUCGUAGCCUAUGAGGUUUAUCCGAGGCGUGAUUAUUGCUAGUUGAAAACUUUACCCAAUACCCCGCCUUGACGACUUGAAAUAUAGUCGGCAAUGGCAAUUUUUGACAGUCUCUGAGGAGA
rnacentral:snRNA from 1 species